rnacentral:rRNA from 1 species
CUACGGGACGCUCCAGUGAGGAAUUUUGCGCAAUGGGGGAAACCCUGACGCAGCAACGCCGCGUGAGCGAAGAAGGCCUUCGGGUCGUAAAGCUCUGUCAAGUGGGAAAAAAAUUCUUUGAUGAACAGUCAAAGGACUUGAUGGUACCACUGGAGGAAGCACCGGCUAAGUCCGUGCCAGCAGCCGCGGUAAUACGGAGGGUGCAAGCGUUGUUCGGAAUUACUGGGCGUAAAGAGCGUGUAGGCGGUUUGACAAGUCAGAUGUGAAAGCCCCGGGCUCAACCCGGGAAGUGCAUUUGAAACUGUUUAACUAGAGUAUGGGAGAGGAGAUUGGAAUUCCUGGUGUAGAGGUGAAAUUCGUAGAUAUCAGGAGGAACACCCGUGGCGAAGGCGAUUCUCUGGACCAAUACUGACGCUGAGACGCGAAAGCGUGGGGAGCAAACAGGAUUAGAUACCCGCGUAGUC